UACGAAGGGGGCUAGCGUUGUUCGGAAUCACUGGGCGUAAAGCGCACGUAGGCGGAUCUUUAAGUCAGGGGUGAAAUCCCGAGGCUCAACCUCGGAACUGCCUUUGAUACUGGGGAUCUCGAGUCCGGGAGAGGUGAGUGGAACUGCGAGUGUAGAGGUGAAAUUCGUAGAUAUUCGCAAGGACACCAGUGGCGAAGGCGGCUCACUGGCCCGGAACUGACGCUGAGGUGCGAAAGCGUGGGGAGCAAACAGG
rnacentral:rRNA from 1 species